rnacentral:tRNA from 1 species
GGCCAAGUAGCUCAGUUGGUAGAGCAGCGGACUGAAAAUCCGCGUGUCCGUGGUUCAAUUCCGCGCUUGGCCA